rnacentral:rRNA from 1 species
GACGAACCGAGCGAACGUUGUUCGGAAUCACUGGGCUUAAAGGGCGCGUAGGCGGGCGGUCAAGUCAAGGGUGAAAGCCCCCAGCUCAACCGGGGAAGUGCCUCUGAUACUGAUCGUCUCGAGGGGGAUAGGGGCGUGCGGAACUUCCGGUGGAGCGGUGAAAUGCGUAGAUAUCGGAAGGAACACCGGUGGCGAAAGCGGCGCGCUGGAUCCCUUCUGACGCUGAGGCGCGAAAGCCAGGGGAGCAAACGGG